rnacentral:rRNA from 1 species
GACGGAGGGUGCAAGCGUUGUUCGGAUUGACUGGGCGUAAAGGGCGUGUAGGCGGUCGGUCAAGUUUGAUGUGAAAGCCUGGAGCUCAGCUCCGGAAGUGCAUCAGAAACUAACCGGCUGGAGCGCGAUAGAGGAGGGCGGAAUUCCUGGUGUAGCGGUGAAAUGCGUAGAUAUCAGGAGGAACACCGGCGGCGAAGGCGGCCCUCUGGAUCGUUGCUGACGCUGAGACGCGAAAGCGUGGGGAGCAAACAGG